GACAGAGUGAGAGAGAAGCACUCGGUGACCCCCAGACAGAGUGAGAGAGAAGCACUCGGUGACCCCCAGACAGAGUGAGAGAGAAGCACUCGGUGACCCCCAGACAGAGUGAGAGAGAAGCACUCGGUGACCCCCAGACAGAGUGAGAGAGAAGCUCUCGGUGACCCCCAGACAGAGUGAGAGAGAAGCACUCGGUGACCCCCAG